rnacentral:rRNA from 1 species
UGGGGAAUAUUGGACAAUGGGCGAAAGCCUGAUCCAGCAAUGCCGCGUGAGUGAUGAAGGCCUUAGGGUUGUAAAGCUCUUUUACCAGGGAUGAUAAUGACAGUACCUGGAGAAUAAGCUCCGGCUAACUCCGUGCCAGCAGCCGCGGUAAUACGGAGGGAGCUAGCGUUGUUCGGAAUUACUGGGCGUAAAGCGCGCGUAGGCGGCUUUUCAAGUCAGGGGUGAAAUCCCGGGGCUCAACCCCGGAACUGCCCUUGAAACUGGGAAGCUAGAAUCCUGGAGAGGCGAGUGGAAUUCCGAGUGUAGAGGUGAAAUUCGUAGAUAUUCGGAAGAACACCAGUGGCGAAGGCGACUCGCUGGACAGGUAUUGACGCUGAGGUGCGAAAGCGUGGGGAGCAAACAGGAUUAGAUACCCCCGUAGUCC